CUGCUGUGGUGGUUGGAGUGGUCGGGAUGGGUCAUGUUCCUGGAAUUGAGAGGAACUGGGAUAAAGAGCUCAAUAUUCAUGAGAUCAUGAGCGUGGCGCCACCAUCUCGCUUUGCCUGGGUAGUACGCAGCGUGUUGAAGGGAGCCAUGUGGGGGCUUCUGGGUUAUGCCUGCUUCCGUGCCAGCAAGGGCGUGGGGAGGGCGUUACUCUCCUUUCCGACAGUCCAAUCGUUGCUUGAAAAUAUACAAAAACCUUCCGUUUGACCCUUCUUUUAUUGGCGCAGACUUUUCAGCAGUGAGAUCAGGAUGUCACACUGAACACCAAUAGCCUUAACUACAGGAUGGUGGUUGGGUAAAGGGGAAGAUUAGAGGCAAACAUCCUCUCCAUCCCAUAUGAAAUAAACAAUGGGGUGGAAGCUUUUGACUAGCUCUCUACCUCCUCAACUCUCUGUCCAUCUGCUCUGUGUACUUGUGGACGCAGAGCUGUACUGCCAAAGAAAUCGGACCGUGCUUUCUUUCCCCUUUUCCUCAUUCUUAAAAUAUGACCUACGAGGAAAUUAGCUGCAGCGGGAUCUCCCACGUUAUCAUUCAACUUGAACUGAAGUUUUUUUUGUUUUGUUUUUUGGCUGUGAUUUAUUCUGUUGGUUGACUCCUGCAAGUGGUUGAUGCAUUUUGUUUCCCAGCAGGUGGUACUGUUUCAGCAGUCCAGUACUGUUAAUCUGCGACCUACCAUAAUCUUUAGUUCAUUAAAAAUGAUUGGUAAAGCCAUUUUAUUUUAUUAAUGGAACCGUAUCCCGGAAUUAUUUUUUAAAACCUGAAUUGCGCAAUAGGACCAUUUGUGAAGAAAAGCAUAACUCUAGAUUUUAUUGAAAGUAUGACUUGAUAAAUACAUGUAAUGCACAUUGGGAAAAUGAUUAUGACCAAAGUAUUUGUGGUUUCAUUGAUUGAAUUUGUAUGUUUCUGACAAAAAGGCUUAAAAUGAGUGAAACUGAAACAACCCCGAACAGUGUUUAAGAGCUUCAAGUCACAUCCAGUAAUCUUCACUCUAUGUGAUCUUCACUCUAUGUGGGGAAGCAUGGUUGCUUGGUUUUUCAAUUUACCUGAUAAGCCCAACAUAAAUUUUGCCCAGGCUACCUAUUAAGUGCCUCCUACUACAUGACCUGGAAAGGGCUAAAAGGAACAGAGACGGGUCAGGGUGUUUUGCUCUCACUCCAUAUGGUCAUAAUAAAUGGUACUAUUAAAUCUGGAGUCCACGGUUUCACUCACACAGUUUCAUAAUUUUGUUCUUGCUAAUGGAAUGUAAUGGUUUCUAGAAAUUAGAGAAUUAUGUAAUUAAUUAGACAAGCUGCAUUGUGUUUAUGCAAUAUUUUGUUGUAAGAUGAGAGAUCCAAUCAAUUUUUAAGAAACAAACUGCUGUUCCCCCGAAUUUAAGUAUUUUCAUUACUGUCUUUUGCUACUGUUCAUAGAAGCGGAGUUGCCUAAAGGUCAAUUUCACUAAAUUGGAAACAACUUAAUGUUAAUGCUUACAGUAUGAUAUUACUCUAACACGUCUAACACGUAUAAUCUUUUUUAUACAUUCAUCAUGACAUUCUUCAUAAUAAUUCACCACUAACUCAAAAGUCAUGAGUCACAUGAAAACAUCAAAAUGACUUGAAACUAUAAGUGUAGAAUAACCAAAUGCAAGAAACCAAGAGUAAGUGUAGAGAACCAUUAAAAAAAAAGUAAAGCUGACAAGAAAAUGCUUAUAACAGGAAAGACAUCACUAGCAUGGGCCAUCAGGGCACAAUUUGGGAACCAUGCUUUAUAUGGAUGGAUGUAGGAAAGGUGUUUCUGCUGUUUGUGUGCUUACAUUUAAUUUGUCUGCCAAAUGAAUAAAUGUAAAUGUAAAGUCUUAUACAACUGGAAUUGCUGGUUCAUAUGUUGACUUUGUUUUUCCAUGUAGCUUUAUACAACUGUGUCUUAUAGGGUGACUGAAAAUCUAUUUUAAAUGUGGCGUCUAGGUCACAGGCACAUUUGAAGCACAUGACACUUGAGUGUGGUGGGGAAUGCUAAUGCCAUCUGUUGUUCUUUUAAAUGUUUAGAUGCUGAAUGGAAAUUGCUCUGUUUUGAACUAUAGUGGGCUCAAAUUAAGAUGUGACUAAAGCUUUGCAUGCAUGCCAUGUGCAUUUACAGGUAUGCUGGAGAAGGAAAUGACUAUAUGGAUGUAUCUGCAUGAUUUCUUGUGUAGAUGGUUUGUUGGGAUUAUUUAAUUGAAGUUUUUAAAACAUAUUGUAAUGAUUUUAAAUAUAUAUUAGCAUUCUGAGAUAUUUGUCAGUGCUUAAUGGUGCUUAAUGAGUAUUUCUAUUUGCAUAACACCGGUCCCUGCAUUUAAAUGUUAUCAUAAAUAUGGUGCAAGGUGAUUGCAAACUAAUUAAACUGGUUGACUAACUGAUUAAUUUAAUACAAUUUAUUUUUUAAAAAUCUACUGAUCCACUGACCCAGUAGUCUAGUUCUCCUGCUGUAACAUUUGUAUUGAAUGUCGCUGUCUUCCUGAAAACUAAAACUGUCUUCCUGUUAACUUCAUGCAGUUUGACUUUUUGAUCAUCUAGAUCUGCUGCACUUUUUGGGUGAGAAAUGCCAUGGUCAAAGGUAUUUGAUACAUCUCUUUGUACAUCCUUCAGCUUUACUGCUCCAAUUUCAUUUUUUUCUAACCAUUGUUAACUGUGGAAAAGGAGAAUAAAUGGU